UGUGAUUAAGAAAACAAUCAAAUUUCGAUGACUUUUUAAUAACUGUGUUUGAAUUAGUUUCUUUUUCUUUCUAAGUUCAUAAUCAAAUAAGAAAAAAACGGAUUGAAGAAGUGUUAUCAUCAUCGUCAUUGUGAUCAUCAUCUUUUAAUCCUUAUCUAGUUAUUAAUAUAUUUUAAUUUUUAUCCAAUUCAAGUUGUUUGGUUGGAGAUCUACUUGAACUUUAAUUUUGUUAAGGAGAUUGCCAAUUUCUUAUGUUGAAGUUAUAUAUACCCUUACAUUUAUCCUUUAUUAUUUUCAUAAUAACCAAUAACCUUUUUGUUAUCAUAAUUUUACAAUAUUAUUCUUAUUUUUAAAUAUACUUUUAUGUUAACAUAAAUGUGUCCAUAACAUUGAUGAUAACAAAUUGGAUAACACUGUUGGAGCCUUUAAAACUGAUUAAUUUUUAGGUUGUAUAAAGUUUUAGACAAGAAUAAGAUUAUGAAAAUAAACAGAUAACAAUUAAUCCUAAGUCGGCAAACUGUUUUUAUAAGGAAGAUUUAUAAUUUUGAUUUUAGAAGAUAAUGGUGAACCGUUUAUUAGAAAAUGGUUAACCAACAAAUUCGAGAUAGCAAUUUAAGUGAAAAUGGCGAACCGAUUACUGGAAACGAUUAGCUGAUAUCUCUUUGCAGGGUUACUAGAAUUAAUUAGCAAACCGAUAACUAGUAAAUGGUAAGCAGACUUCGAACAUAUUAACUUUUGGAAUUAAACAGUGAAUUGACAGCUCCAAACAGUGAACUGACUAUUCAAAUUUAAGUAUAACAGUAAUUUAUACAAGUCAAAACGGCAAUCCAACUUCUGAUUAUCGGCGAUCCAAUUAUACUUAGAAAGUUAACAACGGCUAGUUUUUUACUUUUACUAUAAAAAAACUCAAUCAAAAUGGAUUCUACAAUUGGCAUUGAGCUUGUUCUUGCAUAUUUAAGCUAUAUUGAGUUCAAGUUUGUUUAUUCUUUCAUCAAGUCACACUUUGAACUUUCAUUUGUAAACAUAUACUUUGUGUGAGGAAAGAAGUGUGUAAUCUUUAUUUUCACUUCAAGAUUGAGUAAUUGUGAGUGUGGGAAACACUUGAGAUAAAGGGUUUGAGAUCCCUUAGAGUUGUAAAGGUUUAUUGACAAGUUGGAAGUAAAUUGUAAUCUUGUUAGAGCCUGGAGGUUGUAAGGUUUAGAUAGUGAAAUCUUCAAGCGUAGUGAGCCUUGAGGUUGUAAGGUUUAGAUAGUAAAAUCUUCAAGCGUAGUGAGCCUUGAGGUUGUAAGGUUUAGAUAGUAAAAUCCUCAAACGUAGUGAGCUUGGAGGCGUGGACGUAAGCAGGCUUUGCCGAACCACGUAAAAAUAUUGUGUUUGUUUCUCUUCUCUUCUCUCUAUAUGUUUAGAUUAUGAUUAUUUAUUCACUAGUUUUUUAAUUUCAUUGAAAAUUUGAAUUAGUUGUAGUGUGUUAAUCGCUUAAUAAUUUUGAAAACCCAAUUCACCCCCCUCUUGGAUUGCUUAGGUAUAAUUUCAUUUUAUUUGUAUUUAUUAGU
rnacentral:lncRNA from 1 species